CCUUCAGCCGCACCCAACCCCCAUCUCCGCUUCUGCCCGCGUGCCUACCACCCCAAACUCGCCGGAAAAACUCGCCAACCCGGCGAAUUAACUCACAUGGUCCCCUCAUGCUCCUCACUCAUCAUUAGCAUCUGAUUUUAACGCGUUUUCUUCUCAUCUCACGCGCUCUUCACAAUUUCUUUGAAGAAUCCGAGCCAUUCAUAAAUGGAUGAUAGUUAAAUUGGAGCCGUAGGAUCGAAAUCUUUGGAUCCUAGGCGUCCAUUUGCCUAAAACCCAUUUGCACGAAAAGGUUUUCGGAUUUUUGGGGAUUUUUCAGAUUUUGUGAGAUAAAAAAUCGGAUUUCUUGGAGAGGAAGGAGGAGGAAGCUUCUAGGGUUCCUAUGAAUAGGGCUUCUUUGGACAGAAAAAAGGGGGUUCUGGAGAAAAAUUGGGGGAGGAGAAAUUAGUGUUGAGCCCUUUUCACUUUAGGGAUUCCGUCUUUUUCAGACUUUUAGUUUAAUUCAAAUCUCAGAAAAAUACAAAAAUACAUGUUUCUUCUUUCCAAUUUCAAUUUUCGUUUUCAAAGAUAGGUUUCGAUCGAAGUUCCGAGGUCUGGUUUCAAGUUCUUAGCGGUUUGUUGAUUGACGGCGAGUUUUUGGUUGCUGGUUCGAUCCCUGUUUACCUGCUGCUGUGUCCCUUAUUUAUUUAAUAACUUCAUCGAAAAGUUUGACUUGUAAUCGCUUACAAACAUAUUCAAUCAAAAGCUUUCGGCAUUCAGGUACGGAUUUAUUUACCACAGCUCGAGCAUGAGAGAUACCCCAGGACCACUGCAUUCAGGAGCUUCUUGAGGAGCUUUUUUUUUUUUAUUUUUAUGUUUUUGAGUCUAUUGUUCUUGUUUACUUCCUAAUCUUGUACAGUAGUAUUCAGUCAUUUAGUUGGUGCCAAAGUUGUCGUAGUAUUGUUCAGUUUGUCGAGUCUAUCAUUAUCGUACUUCCUGUUUUGUAUUUGUAAAACCAAAAAAUAUUAUAAAUGAAAAAUCUAAAAAGAUUUUUAUUUUAUUUGUCCA